UGUCAAUACCGACAACAAUGAAAUUUAUAGUAAGAGGAAAAUCCGUCGACUUUAGAAAUCGUGAGGGUUCAAGUCCCUCUAUCCCCA
rnacentral:tRNA from 2 species